UCUCCUACAUGUACAUUUCAUACCCGCUUUCCCUGCCUUUUUGCCUUUAGCCUUAAUUACUAACACAUUCUAUAUUUCACUUAUGCCGUUCUGUCUCUUCUUUUAUAAUAUAAGCUCCAGGAGGGCAGGGACUUCCGUAUGUGUUUGUUUUGCUGCUCUAACACCUGGAACCUAUAAGGAGCUCAAGAAAUAUUUUAAAUGAAUGACUUCCAGGCAGGGAGAAAAGCUGGAGCAAAUCCAAGGGCAGUUGCUACCUUGAGAAGCCUGAAGCUGGAACUGGGGAGCAGCGGGGGGUAGGGCAGACCACUCCCCCGGUUGAGGUUGGGUCGGGGGUGGGCACUGAAACUUUGCUAUCUGCAAGAUGGGAGCGGGCGCCGGAAGCUCAGAGUCUUGGGAAAGCGGCGGGUCUGUGAUCUCCUCCCGAGAGGCUGGCAGAAAGGCAGAGGCGGGUUGGCUUCCUCCGUCACCACUCCCCCCCGGCCCAGGGAAGCCCGGGAGAUCCGAAUGUCGAAGAACUCUGAGGAAGCAAAACGUGACAUUAAACUCAAGCUGGGGAUUUGUGUGGAGGAUCCUAAAUGACAGCUGCCCCCACGGAGGAGCGCGGAGGGCGGGACGGGCUUUGUCCCGGGAGGAGGAGCUGCGGACUCGGGAAGCGCGCGCGUCACGUGGCCGCCAGUGCGCCGCUCCGCUAAAAGGGGCUGACCGCCGGGCCGUGGGCGGUGAGGCCCGGGAGGGCGGCCGAGGACGCAGAGUGGCGUGCGAAUGUUCUCAGUCCUCGGUCCCGCCGGGACAGUGCAGGGCCGAGCCACCGCUCGGAGCCGGACGCGAGGCCUCCGGAGCCCGGGGCAGCUCGGCGCGGGCGCGUGCCCGGGUUCGCCGCCGCCGCCUCCAGUACGUCCGCGCUGCCGGCGCGCGCCCGGGCCGUGCUCACAAAGGAGAUCCUUUCCCGGGCGCCCCGCCGCCCGCGCGCCAGCCGCGGCCCCGGCACCAAGGGGAGGGGUCGCCUGCGAGCCGCUCCAGGCUUCCAGGCUUCCAGGCUCCACGGCCGCUUGCCCCGAGCUGCCCUUCAUUUAUUUAUUUUGGUGGAGGAAAAGCGGGGUCAUCUACCUUGGAGCAGCAAAUCUUUCCAGGAAGUUUGUACCUAUUAAUAUUUCAGUUCCUGGCAGCUGCUUUAAGUGCCUGGGAGUGGGGGUGGGGGUGGGGGUGGGGGAAGGGCCAAGUUCAAUGCCGCGAGAGAGGGAGCUGCUGAGCGCGGCCGAGGGUUCUCGGCAGGCCUGAGGCGGUGGGGCCGACGGGCAGUCCCCGCGCCUCCGAGACACGUCCCUCUCCGCCGGAGGCAGGAGCUACCCGGACCCCCGUGGGGCGCGGGCACGACAGUGGCGGGUGACCUCGGGAGCGUCGCGCUUGGGGGCAGUGGGGGGAGAGGCGGGCCCCCGAGUCUGCGACCUGAGCGGGGACGCCAGCUCCGGGUUCCCAGAGCGGGGGCGGUGGAGGGAGCGGGGAGGGCCGCUCAGCCAGCAGAUGUUGGCGAUGAGCGGACGCGGGCGGGGAGGAAGGAAAGGCGGCGCCGGGAGCACCCCGGCUUGGAGGGCGCGUCCCCGCAAGCGAGGGGCCGCCCGCCCGGUCCCUGCGGCUCGGCCGCCACCUGCGUUCGCGGGGAACCGGCGAUGGUGAGGCCCAGAGCUCUGAAGAGGUCGGGACGCCCUUUCUGACCUUGGUCCAGCCACGGAGUGCGAGGGCGCUGCUGCAGAAACUUGAUCUUUUAAAGCUCGAUACUCCUUGCAACCACCCUGCAAGGCUCCUGAGAAAAUGGAGCUCAGAGAAGUUAAAUAACCUCCUCGCGAUCGCAGUGCUGCUGCCCCACAGCGAGGUCCCCGAUUUUUGACAUAUCUUGCAAGAAGUGGUCCCUUGGAAGCAAAUCAACGCUGUUCUUCCUAUAGUACCGCCCACAGGAUCGUCCCCUAAGGGGAACCACGGGAACAAGUAGAACUCUAGACCCACAGCACCUGGACUUGCCAGCUUUUCAGAAUCCCUUUGAUUCACCGCAGAAGUGCGGGCUCAGGCUUCCUAGCCAAUCACACGUCCGGAACACCUGUCGUUUCGCCAAAGAAAACUUAUUUUUAACAUCCCUCAGGUGCAUAUGCAGAUGAAGAGAUUUGAAGCGGUUGGCAUAGCCACCUCUGAAGUGUGGCUCCUGGAAAGGUUACUUCAAAUGCUAACAUCCCCACGGUAAAAACUGAAGUCCUCACGCACAGCAGCACGGCACUGCCUUGUCCCCAGUAUUGCAAAGUCAGUCGUAGACACUAUGGCAGCGUUCCUUCUCAGUAUUAUCAGCCCCACUCUGCUGAGGGACUCUGUCCAGCCCUGCAUGGAAGUCACUCACUACAGGGCCAAGACUUGGAAACCCUUGGGCAAGGGGAAGUUUGUCUCAGGCACCUUCUCACUCUAGUCUCCAGGAUCCCCUCCCCCUUCCACCCUCUUACCCCCUCCCCAGCUACAUGUGUUUCUCCCAGGUGGCCAGAGCCCCACUGGCCUUGGACCAGAGGGGAGGAUGUGACAGAUUCAGGCAUCUUAAGUUCUUUUGUCUUCCCUUGCAACUUGGGAGCUGCAUUUCACACAGGGCCCACCCUGAGUGUUGUCAGAGCUCCCCCCACCCAUGUCCUGUGGACGGACGGCCCAAUCUUGAUCAUUGGCAGGAACAGUCAGAGGGAAUAGAGGGAAGAAAAGGAAGAAGACUCAACGACCAUUUAUUUGAGUGCAAUUUAUAUUAUUAAAUAGAAUGAUGG